GGCUGAUCCACGAUUGAGAAUCGUUCAAGAGUAAAGUUAUCAAUACGAUUGAUGAUUAACCCUAUGCAAUAGUUGCAAUAAAUUAAUUCAUUGAGAGUCAGUGAUAUUCAAGAGGAUUAGAUAAUAAUUAGAUUGUUGAUUAACUUAAUUUGAUUGAGGAUUAAAGUCUGGACUAAGUCUAAUUGAAUUAGAUUCAAUUAGGUCAAACCUGAUUAGGCUAUGAGAUGAUCUAAUCGCUAAGGGAGAAUUAAUCCUGAUUUGAUCAGGAC
rnacentral:lncRNA from 1 species